ACAGAGGUGUAACAAUGAAUGGUUGUUACCAUGCUUGUUACAAAUGGGCAAGUUUCCACUAAAUUCACCAAUUUAGUGUUUUGUUUAUUCUCAGUUAUAUCCGAUUCAAUAAUAACUAUCACAAGGUUGUAAUCUCUUGUGGACACAUGCGCUGGGUGUCCUGAGAUUACAUAAACUCUAAUUACCUACCCGUGAAUGCACACUCUUCAAAAUAUCCACUCAAUGUUGUUGGUAGCACUUGCCCCCAAAAAGUGUACCAUCUGGGUUAACUUGGUUGAGUUUACAAAAAGAGAUAAGAUGUAGGUCAAUAUCACUGACUGGGGUCUACCUCAAGUGGGAGGAUAAACACACAAGUACACCACAGAGUACAUGUCAAAUCUGCAAUGUAAUUACUAGGUGUUACACAGGAUUUAGAUAGUUAAAAUGAAGUGUAUCUUCAGGGGUACUUACUUGUCAUUAAUGUGUACUUAAAGUGCGUUCUGAAAGACGUGACACAUCUUCCCGGUUUCCACAUUUUGUUACGUUACAGGCUUAUUCUAAAAUUGAUUAAAUACAUUUUUUCCCUCAUCAAUCUACACACAAUACCCCAAAAUGACAAACCAAAAACAGUUUUUUAGAAUUGUAUACAAAUGUAUUAAAAAUUUAAAACAGAAAUACCUUAUAUACAUAAGUAUUCAGACCCUUUCCUAUGAGACUCGUAAUGGAGCUCAGGUGCAUCCUGCUUCCAUUAAUCGUCCUUGAAAUGUUUCUAAAACUUGAUUGGAGUCCACCUGUGGUAAAUUCAACUGAUUAGACAUGAUUUGGAAUGACACACAAGUGUCUAUGUAAGGUCCCACAGUUGACAGUGCAUGUAAGAGCAAAAACGAAGCCCUGAGGUCGAAGGAGCUGUCCGUAGAGCUCCAAGACAGGAUUAUGUCGAGGCACAAAUCUGGGGAAGGGUACCAAAAAGCAUUGAAGGUCCCCAAGAACACAGUGGCCUCCAUGAAGAAGUAUGGAACCACCAAGACUCUUACUAGAGCUAGCCACCCGGCCAAACUGAGCAAUCAUGGUAGAAGGGCCUUGGUCAGGAAGGUGACCAAGAACACGAUGGUCAUUCUGACAGAGCUCCAGAGUUCCUCUGUGAAGAUGGGAGAAUCCUCCAGAAGAAACAACCAUCUCUGCAGCACUCCACCAAUCAGGCCUUUAUGGUAGGGUGGCCACACGGAAGCCACUCCUCAGUAAUAG
rnacentral:lncRNA from 1 species